GAGUUUUCCGGGGGGGGAAAGAGUUCACUCCCAACCCCUGUGAACAUACCACUUGUUGCCUCGGCGGAUCAGCCCGCUCCCGGUAAAACGGGACGGCCCGCCAGAGGACCCCUAAACUCUGUUUCUAUAUGUAACUUCUGAGUAAAACCAUAAAUAAAUCAAAACUUUCAACAACGGAUCUCUUGGUUCUGGCAUCGAUGAAGAACGCAGCAAAAUGCGAUAAGUAAUGUGAAUUGCAGAAUUCAGUGAAUCAUCGAAUCUUUGAACGCACAUUGCGCCCGCCAGUAUUCUGGCGGGCAUGCCUGUUCGAGCGUCAUUUCAACCCUCAAGCACAGCUUGGUGUUGGGACUCGCGUUAAUUCGCGUUCCUCAAAUUGAUUGGCGGUCACGUCGAGCUUCCAUAGCGUAGUAGUAAAACCCUCGUUACUGGUAAUCGUCGCGGCCACGCCGUUAAACCCCAACUUCUGAAUGUUGACCUCGGAUCAGGUAGGAAUACCCGCUGAACUUAAGCAUAUCAAUAAGCGGAGGAAA
rnacentral:rRNA from 1 species